GGAUAUGGCGCAGUUUGGUAGCGCACCUGCUUUGGGAGCAGGGGGUCGCAGGUUCAAAUCCUGUUAUCC
rnacentral:tRNA from 1 species